GAGGAGGUAAAUCAAGAGAAGAAAUUCUUCAUUUACACAUUUCUUUUGUACCUGUUCUAUUUUGCAUUUUCAUCAUGGGGAAGAGAGACAUUUGUUUUCUUUAUAUGAAGUUCUGAAAAUUCAACAUUUUCUUAGGCCAUAAAGUGCAUAAUGGGACUCUUCUGUCAGUAAGUAGUUGCCAGUGGAUGAACUCUGAAUGUAUUUGGAGCUCCCGGGAGAUGUAUUUUUAUGCUAACCAGAAGACUGCAAGGACAUAUGGCACUGAGCUCCAGAAACAAAUAAUCUGCUGUCUUCAGCUGGGCUACCAUCAAAGAAUCACCAAGGAAGCAGUGGCCACAUUUGUUGGCUUUGAUUUGUUCAUGUCCUCAAGUUAUGCUUCUGUGCUUUUGUCAAAUUACAGCCCUGUAGUUCAGAAAGACAAUGGUGUCCAGAGACUUCAAUAAUGCUUGAAAUGCAUUUGCACAGUGACAGAAAUGUGUAGAGAAAGAACCAUAAUAAGACAUUUAAUUAUCCAGUGUUUCUAGAACACAAAACAUCCUUGUCUGCUUUCAUGGAACAUGUUGGUCCUGCCAUAAACUGCAGCCAGUGAUUAAGACCAUGGUACUUGUAAGUCUGUUGAGUCUGUUGUGAUAACCCUUGAAGUUCUUUCCAUCAGGUCUGUCUCUUUUUUAUCUAGGAAAAUAGAUUCUGUCAAUCACCACAUCCUGGCAAACUGCCUCAUAUAAAAGUAUUACAUACUUAGUUCCUUCUUUUUUAAUGCCUUUGUUAUCUGUUAGGUUAACAGGUUUAUGCUAAGUUUAUUUACUUUGAUCUUUCUUCUUUUUAUCCCAUGCACUUUGCUCCUUGACCCCUUCCUCAGCUGCCCUGAGCUCAGCUUGGCAUAUGCCUAGAAAGGACUGCAAUGCAACCUGAAUUUGGUAACAGGCAGGCAUUCUGCUCUCAAACAGAAACAGAGCAGGGCAGAGCUUUAUGAAGCCUCACUGCUCAAGAAUUCACCCAGCUUUUCAGGUGGCUUUUGCUGCUUUCUGUCAGCUUUGUUGUUUUCACAACUGCAGACAUGAACAAGUUAGCCAGUUUCACUUUGUAUUUAUUGCAAUAUAUUCAGUCUAUGGGUACAACUUUGAAUGUGAAUUGUCUGUCUCAUAACAAAGCUAAUAUUGCCUUUCCCUUUAUUUACCAUUAAAAAACAAAAUUGGUACUGCAAUUGUAACAAGACACUACAAAAAAUAUUAUUUUAGGAGCUUUACCAAUGCAGAAAUAAUUGAUGCUGUACAUUUUCUUAAUGUGUACUGAAAUAUCCAUAUUCGAAGACAAAGCAUUUGUGAUGGC
rnacentral:lncRNA from 1 species